UACGAAGGGGGCUAGCGUUGUUCGGAAUUACUGGGCGUAAAGCGUGCGCAGGCGGCUUCUCAAGUCAGGGGUGGAAGCCCAGAGCUCAACUCUGGAACUGCCUUUGAGACUGAGUGGCUUGAGUACGAGAGAGGUGAGUGGAAUUCCCAGUGUAGAGGUGAAAUUCGUAGAUAUUGGGAAGAACACCGGUGGCGAAGGCGGCUCACUGGCUCGUAACUGACGCUCAUGCACGACAGCGUGGGGAUCAAACAGG
rnacentral:rRNA from 1 species